rnacentral:ncRNA from 2 species
GAUGGAUGAGGUGAUGGGGUCCACCUCAAUUAACCGCUCGUGUACGAGCUGAUGACUCCUACUAAUCU